ACUAAUAUCAAGUUUAAUUAAUGUUUGGUGGCAUAAACUGUCAAGCUCAUCCAUUAUUUAUUGCUCAUGGCCUCUCGCUAUCACUUCCUGUACUUGGAGAUCUGAUUUCAUGCGAUUGCACAACCCAGCCCGUGCGCCUGCUACGGCUCAUUGGCCAAAAUAGUUCUGGUGCUCCCAGAUGAGAUAUGUGACGGGGCCCUAUUGACCUUUCCUUAAGGGCCGACGGGGAGCAGGAGAGAGGGGAAGAGGGAAAUUGAAUGCAAGUGAAGUAGGGACAACACAAGACCAACUACACGACUUUCCACUGCCCCAACAACACUGCCACGGUGACGGCACCCCCGGUUGGAGAUAACUGAAUUACCUAACAGGCCUUCUAGGAAGGAGCACCAGUCUGGUGGACCAUGAGGACCUCAGAUCCUCAUAGAGUGAUUUAAAGCCCACCCAUCUGGAACGAGUGUCUAUUUUGGGAGCUCAGUACAGGCCAAGUACCAGCUGCAAUGUGUAAUACACAUCACGAAUAGGACGGCACCUUACGAACAGGCAGCCUUUACUCUGGGCAAAGCGUAUAGAGAAUAUUAACGGUACGACAGGCUGGAUUGUGUUCAACUGUGGAGCUUCGACUGUUGCAUAGAGUAAGAAUUGUUUUUGUACUAGAUAAAAAAACAACAACAAAAGAGAAAUUAAAAAAAUAAAUAAUAAUAAAAACAUUGAUUAUAUUAAAGCUUUAUCCAAUUGGUGACCAAGUCAGCCAGUGUUUUUUUAAAGCAA